rnacentral:rRNA from 1 species
UUCAUUGAGGAUUUGAUCCUGGUCCAGGAUGAACGCUGGCGGCGUGGAUAAGGCAUGCAAGUCGAACGGACCAAUGCUCUGCAUUGGUUAGUGGCGAACGGGUUAGUAACACGUAGGUAACAAACCCUAGAAACGGGCAUAAUCCGUCGAAAGGCGGACUAAUUCCCGAUAGUUUCAUUUUUUCAAAAGAGAGAAUGAAUAAACGGAAGGAGUAAUCCAACCGUUCUAGGAUUGGCCUGCGGCCUAUCAGCUUGUUGGUAGAGUAAUGGUUUACCAAGGCUAUGACGGGUAGGCGGGGUGAGAGCUUGACCGCCAACAAUGGCACUGAGACACGGGCCAUACUCCUACGGGAGGCAGCAGUCGAGAAUAUUGGUCAAUGGGGGAAACCUUGAACCAGCGACGCCGCGUGCAGGAAGAAGGCCUUCGGGUUGUAAACUGCUUUUAUGGGGGGAGAACCACGUUUGACGUGGUGACGGUACUUCAUGAAUAAGGGGAUGCAAAUUCUGUGCCAGCAGCCGCGGUAAUACAGAAUCCCCGAGCGUUAUCCGGAUUUAUUGGGCGUAAAGGGUCCGUAGGCGGUUUGAUAAGUUUGACGUUAAAUACCUUGAGCUCAACUUAAGGAAGGCGUUAGAAACUGUCAGACUAGAGGGCGUUAGAGGUUGAUGGAACACUCGGUGUAGGGGUGAAAUCCGUUGAUAUCGAGUGGAACACCAAAAGCGAAGGCAUUCAACUGGGGCGGCCCUGACGCUGAGGGACGAAAGCCAGGGGAGAGAAAAGGAUUAGAUACCCUUGUAUUCCUGGCCCUAAACGAUGGACACUGGCUAUCUGUAGUGUCGACCCUACAGGUGGCGAAGCUAACGCGUUAAGUGUCCCGCCUGGGAAUUACGGUCGCAAGACUAAAACUCAAAGGAAUAGACGGGGGCUCACACAAGCGGUGGAUCAUGUGGCUUAAUUCGAUAACAAACGAGGAACCUUACCAGGACUUGACAGACUAGUGAAAAUCUUCCGAAAGGAGGAUCUACCCACAAGGACACUAGUCCAGGUGCUGCAUGGUUGUCGUCAGCAGGUGUCUUGAGAUGCUCCCUUAAAUGGGGAAACCUGCGCAACCCUUACCCUAUGUUUUACGUGUCAUAGGGGACUGCCGUAGACAAUACGGAGGAAGGUGAGGAUGACGCCAAAUCCGCAUGGCCUUUUGAUGUCCUGGGCUGCACACAUGAUACAAUGGUUAGGACAAUGGGUUGCCAAGGAGAAAUCCGGAGCCAAUCCCAACAAACCUGAUCUUAGUCCGGAUUGGGGUCUGCAACUCGACCCCAUGAAGCUGGAAUCGCUAGUAAUCGCCAAUCAGCCAUGUGGCGAUGAAUACGUCCCUGGGCCUUGUACUCACCGCCCGUCACGCCAAGCGAGCUGGGAAUAGCUGAAGUCUGCGUCUGACGUGGACGAAGCUAGGUUCAGUGAGAAGGGCGAAGUCGUAACAAGGCACGGGUAGCGGAAGCUGUCCGUGGAUCACCACAUUU